rnacentral:rRNA from 1 species
UGGCGGCGUGCCUAACACAUGCAAGUCGAGCGGGACAUACGACGGAUAAGAAGUUUUCGGACGGAAUUGAAGAUGUAGUGUUCUAGCGGCGGACGGUGAGUAACGCGUGAGCAACCUGUCCUUCACAGGGGAUAACACAGCGAAAGUUGUACUAAUACCGCAUAAGACCACGGGACCGCAUGGUUUUGAGGUCAAAGGAGCAAUCCGGUGAAGGGUGGGCUCGCGUCCGAUUAGAUAGUUGGUGAGGUAACGGCCCACCAAGUCGACGAUCGGUAGCCGACCUGAGAGGGUGAUCGGCCACAUUGGGACUGAGACACGGCCCAAACUCCUACGGGAGGCAGCAGUGGGGAAUAUUGGGCAAUGGGGGGAACCCUUAGGACCCAGCAACGCCGCGUGAGGGAAGAAGGUUUUCGGAUCGUAAACCUCUGUCCUUGGUGAAGAGGAAGAGACGGUAGCCAAGGAGGAAGCCCCGGCUAACUACGUGCCAGCAGCAGC